ACAGGUUUUGAUAACUCUCCCCAGUCUGUGGGGUUGUAUGGAUGGUUCUGGAGACUUUCAGGGUUCAGCGUUGAUAAAUUCCCCCCGGAGUAAUAAUACUCUCUUCUCCACAUUGAAGUGUAACCGAUCUUAUCUGUAUCAGGUGCAGCAGUAAUUACCCUCCCCAGACAUCACCACACGGAGCUGGCGCCAGAUUCUCCAUGGAUCCCCUCCCCGGCGGUAUCAUCACAAAUCCACCUUAUUCUGACCCGUGUGGAUUCAACUAAAGGGGAGAACAGAUCUCAUUGUUCUCCAGGUCACAACAUGGCGGCACAAGCUACAGAAAAGAUGUUUGUAGAAGGAACGGAACCAUAUGACACAAAUGAGGCAGCGGAGGAAAAGGUCACGGGGCUGGAAGUCACGCCUGGAUAAAAUGUGCUGGAAAGACAGAAAAAAACUGGUCCGUCCUGUUACCUUAAAACCCGACUUCUAGCAGCGCAGGCGUCAGUCGGCAUAAAAUAUUCUCAAGAAACA